UACGAAGGGGGCUAGCGUUAUCCGGAAUCAUUGGGUUUAAAGGGUCCGUAGGCGGUUUAAUAAGUCAGUGGUGAAAGCCCAUCGCUCAACGGUGGAACGGCCAUUGAUACUGUUAGACUUGAAUUAUUAGGAAGUAACUAGAAUAUGUAGUGUAGCGGUGAAAUGCUUAGAUAUUACAUGGAAUACCAAUUGCGAAGGCAGGUUACUACUAAUGGAUUGACGCUGAUGGACGAAAGCGUGGGUAGCGAACAGG
rnacentral:rRNA from 1 species